AACGAACGCUGGCGGCAGGCUUAACACAUGCAAGUCGAGCGCCCCGACAGGGGAGUGGCAGACGGGUGGGUAGCGCGUGGGAACGUACCCUUUGGUUCGGAACAACCCCGGGAAACUGGAGCUAAUACCGGAUAAGCCCUAACGGGGAAAGAUUUAUCGCCGAAAGAUCGGCCCGCGUCUGAUUAGCUAGUUGGUGAGGUAACGGCUCACCAAGGCGACGAUCAGUAGCUGGUGUGAGAGGAUGAUCAACCACACUGGGACUGAGACACGGCCCAGACUCCUACGGGAGGCAGGAGUGGGGAAUAUUGGACAAUGGGGGCAAGCCUGAUGCAGCCAUGCCGCGUGAGUGAUGAAGGCCUUAGGGUUGUAAAGCUCUUUUGUCCGGGAAGAUAAUGACGGUACCGGAAGAAUAAGCCCCGGCUAACUUCGUG
rnacentral:rRNA from 1 species